GACGAACGCUGGCGGCGUGCUUAACACAUGCAAGUCGAACGAAGAGCGAUGGAAGCUUGCUUCUAUCAAUCUUAGUGGCGAACGGGUGAGUAACGCGUAAUCAACCUGCCCUUCAGAGGGGGACAACAGUUGGAAACGACUGCUAAUACCGCAUACGAUCUAAUCUCGGCAUCGAGGAUAGAUGAAAGGUGGCCUCUACAUGUAAGCUAUCACUGAAGGAGGGGAUUGCGUCUGAUUAGCUAGUUGGAGGGGUAACGGCCCACCAAGGCGAUGAUCAGUAGCCUGUCUGAGAGGAUGAACGGCCACAUUGGGACUGAGACACGGCCCAGACUCCUACGGGAGGCAGCAGUGGGGAAUCUUCCGCAAUGGACGAAAGUCUGACGGAGCAACGCCGCGUGAGUGAUGACGGCCUUCGGGUUGUAAAGCUCUGUUAAUCGGGACGAAAGGCCUUCUUGCGAAUAGUGAGAAGGAUUGACGGUACCGGAAUAGAAAGCCACGGCUAACUACGUG
rnacentral:rRNA from 1 species